rnacentral:snRNA from 1 species
CCGGAAGCCGGGUUACGGUGCC